rnacentral:tRNA from 2 species
CAAAAUGUAGCUUAAACAAAGCAUCUCGCUUACACCGAGAAAAUAUCUGUGAAAAUCAAAUCGUUUUGA